ACCCUCUCCACUCAGCACAAACCCAGAUUUCUGCACACACAACACCAAAACCCUCACAGAAGAGGAUUAAGGCCAGAAAAGAUAAGGUUUGAAUAAAAGGUUUUCAGCAUUAAAUGUGCUGCGACGGCAAGGACACCCAUUGUCCGGCCAGACCUGCGACGGUGUCGCCGGAAAACGACAAGGGGUGACGAAACACUGUAGAGAGAGAAGGGGACAAGGGAACAGAGAGAAAUGGCGCAACAGAAGAAUGCUGCUAGGGUUGAGAGAGGUAAGAAGAAUGAGGCAGAUGGAGGGCUCAGAUUGAAGCCCUAGAACAAACGGUUCAGAUCUACGUUUGACUGGAUCAGUGGGCUUAUGUAAUAUUGGGCCCGAUUUCACAAGUUGGGCCUUGAAAUAAUUAAGCUAUUGGCCCAGAUCACAACAGAUCAUUUCUAUUGGGCUCAAUACUUAACAAUUCUCCACCUGAGACCAAUAAAAGGAUUAUUAUGAACACACUUAAUGGACUGGGAUCAUCAUUGCCGUAACUUUGAAUCUUAAACACUAAUCACACAGAUUGUAGUAGAAGAUUCAAAAAGUAUUUUUUCCACAAAGGAGGUAAUCACCAAGAUAAAGAAAAAAUUUAACAUCACACAGAAGUUAAAAAAAAAUAACACAAGCUAUCACAAAGAAAGCAAUAACAGACUUGCACACAACAAGCAGACAAACACAUGUCUGUUUCAAUCAUGUUUUGAGACAAUGUUCAAGGUUCUCAAACAUGAUCUCAAUUUUUCCACAGGUAAACACUUAGUGCCCAUGUCAGCAGGGUUGAAUUCAGAAGGAAUUUUCUCCAAGUCUAUCUCACCUUUUUCCACCACUUUCCGGAUAAAGUGGUAUUUAAUCUCAAUGUGUUUUGUUCUGUCAUGAAAGACAGGGUUCUUGCACAAUUGUAUACCUGAUUGGCUGUCAGAGAAAACUACAACUUUACCUUUCAAGAAGCCAAUUUCUGAGAGCAGCCCUUUCAACCAGAGAGAUUCUUUUAUAGCCUCAGUAGCUGCAAUGUAUUCUGCCUCAGUGGUAGAAAGGGCUACAAUAUUUUGAAGUUGAGAUUUCCAGCAAAUACAAGAACCACACAAAGUAAACACAUAAGAUGUGGUGGACUUCCUAUUAUCUCUGUUGUUUGCAUAAUUAGAAUCCACAUAACCACAUAAGACAAUUCGUUUUCACACUUAGAAAAUUCAAUCCCUGUUCUAACAGACCCUCUUAGAUAUCUCAAUAACCACUUUACAGCCUCCCAAUGAGGCAUGCCAGGAUUAGCCAUAUAUCUACUCAAACAGCUUACAGCAUAUGCAAUGUCAGGUCUAGUACUUACCAUUAAAUACAUGAUAGAACCAAUUGCAUUAGCAUAAGGAACAGAUUUCAUAUCACACAUUUCAGGUUCAUUCUUUUGAGACUGUUCCUUACUUAGCAAGAAAUGAGCAGCUAAAGGCACAGACACAGACUUGGCAUUUUUCAUGGCAAAUUUAUCUAAGAUUUUUUCAACAUAGGCAGAUUGGUUCAGAAGCAAAGAACAAUCUUUUAUGUUCCUAACUAUGUCCAUACCCAGAAUUCUCUUUGAAUCACCAAGAAAUUUCAUGUCAAAGUUUUCACUUAAGCACUUCUUCACAUGAUCAAUAGCCUUUAAACAGGGGCUAGCAAUAAGCAUAUCAUCAACAUAGAUUAACAGGAACACAUGAGAUUGACAAUCAUCUUUGAAAUACAAGCAAGGAUCAAAUUCACUUCUUUUAAAUUUCAAAGAAAGCAUACAAGAGUCAAAUUUUUUUGUUCCACUGCCUAGGAGACUGCUUAAGGCCAUAAAGAGAUUUCUUUAACAAACAGACAUAAUCAGGAUUAACAGAAUCAACAAAGCCUUCAGGUUGAGACAUGAAAAUUUGCUUAUCAAGAUCACCAUGCAGAAAAGCAGUUUUAACAUCCAUUUGCUUAAGUUCCCAAUCAAAGUGAGCAACUAGAGCAAGUAAAAUUCUGACAGUGGUGAAUUUAACAACAGGAGCAAAAAUUUCAGUAUAGUCAAUACCCUCUCUAUGUGUAAAACCUUUAGCUACAAGCCUAGCUUUAUAUCUAACGGAAUCAGAUUCAUGCUUAAUUUUAAAGAGCCAUUUACAUUCAAUCAAAGAGCACUUAGCAGGUUUUGGGACAAGAGUCCAAGUAUGAUUGACAUGCAAUGAGUUAAUUUCCUCUUUCAUAGCAGAUAACCACAUAGAAGAUUCUGAAGAUUUUAAAGCAUCUUUGUAGCACUUAGGUUCAUUCCCAUCUAAAGGAUCAAACACAUUGAACACAAAAGAUGCAAGCUGAAAAUUAUCAAGAUGAUGAGGUUUUCUAAUUUCUCUUCUAGGUCUAUCCCUAGCAAGUUGAUAAUCAUGCAAAUCAUCAAUAUCAGGUAAAUCAGACUCAACAUUUUGAUCAAACACAUUUUCAGGCACAGAGGAUGAAUCAUCAUCAUCAACAAUCUCAAUUUCCUCAUUUCCAAGAGGAGAUUUCUCCACCUCAAUUGGAGCAGAGGGGGGAACAAUAAAUGAAGGCACAUGCAAACAAGGAUAUUCAUUUUCAUUGAAAACAACAUUUCUACUAAUGAUUGUUUUAAAACCAUGUUCAUUCUUUAGCCAACAUUUAUAUCAUUUUACCCCUUCAGGAUAUCCAAUAAAAACACAUUUUAAGGACCUAGGUUCUAAUUUAUCAGUUUUAUGGUGAACAAAAGCAGAACAACCAAAAACUCUCAAAUUAGACAAAUCAGCUGGUUUCCCAGUCUACAUAGUUUCAGGCAAAUUUCCAGACAAAGGCACAGAUGGAGAUCUGUUAAUCACAUAAGCAGCUGUUAAGACAGCUUCACCCCAAAAAACUUUAGGCAAACCAGAUGCAUGCAACAUGGAUCUAACCCUAUCCAUUAAUGUUCUAUUCAUUCUUUCAGCUAUGCCAUUCUGUUGAGGGGUAUAUGCAACAGUCCUAUUUCUUCUAAUGCCAAACUCAGCACACAAAGAAUCAAAUUCAUGAUUGCAAAAUUCAGUGCCAUUAUCAGUUCUAAGGGUUCUCAGUUUCUUGUUUGUUUGAUUUUCAAUAAAGGUUUUCCAAGAUUUGAACUUAUCAAAAACAUCAGACUUUUGCACAAGUAAGAAAACAAACACUUUUCUUGAAAAAUCAUCAACAGCAGACAAGAAAUAUUUGUUUCCACCAGGUGUGGAGACAGGUGCAGGACCCCAAACAUCUGCAUGAACAUAUUCAAGGAUUUCUGUGCACUUAGAAGUAUUAGGGAAAGGGGAUUUAGGGAAUUUCACUUUAGACUGUUUACCCAUAACACAUGAAUUACACAAAGGCAUAUCAACAACAAUGUCAUCACUCAGAUAGUUGUUUUUAUGCAAGAUUCCUAGUCCCUUACUACUGAUGUGACCUAAUAUUCUAUGCCAAAGAUCAGUCAUGUCAUGCUGGACAGAAUUAACAUGUGAAACAGAUAAUGCAGAUGCAACAUACAUAUUAUGCAUUCUAACAGCCUUAAAAGAAAGUAAACCAUCAUGCAUAAUAUUCAUAACCCCAUCACCCCAAGUACCCUUAUACCCAGAAUCCUCCAAGAUAGCACAAGACAUCAAAUUGCUACUAAGCUUAGGAACAUGUCUCACAUUUUUAAAUUUAAACACAAAACCAGAUUGAAAUUUCAGACAUACAAUUCCUAUACCUAGCAUAUGUCUUUUACUACUAUCAGCCAUGGACACAGAUCCAUUUUUUACUUCAACAUAAGAAGAGAACAUGCUUCUGUGGGGUGUCAUAUGAUUUGAGCAAGCAGAAUCCAUUAACCAGUCAUUAUCAGUCAAAGAUGCAGACACAGAAUUCACAAAAUCAAGAUACUCAUCAGUAAUCAUAAACACAUCACCCAUGUUUUCAGCAACUUGGUUAGCCUGUUCAUUAUUAGACUUAUUAUCUUUCUUAGGUUCAGAACACCUAUUGGCAUAAUGACCAGACUUACCACAGUUGUAACACUUCCUAUGUUUGAGCUUAUUCUUACUCCCUACUUUACCCUUAUCAGACUUUUGAAAAUUUUGGUUACUGGAGGAAGAAGCCUUGUUUGAAAACUUGUUUUUAGGCUUGUUUUUCACAAAGUUAACAUCACCCAAAGAUUUGUUGCUUUUGGUAGUUUUCAAAUCAAGUUCCUUACUUUUCAAACCAUUUAUCACAGUGUCUAGAGUCACUUUGUCUCUGCCAUACUUGAUUGCAGAUUUGACAUCACUGUAAGAAUCUGGAAUAGCAUUUAGAAGGACAAUGGGGGUAUAUUCAUCAAUAUUUUUAUCCCCAGUUAACUUUAUAUCUUUCACAAGUUUUGUAAAAACAUCAAGAUUUUCAUCUAUAUCUUUGUGCAAGUCAAGUUUAAAUCUAAAAAACUUUUCCAGUAAAAACAUUUUUGAGGGUAAAGAGGUUUCAGUAUAAAGCUCUUCUAACUUAUCCCAUAAUUCCUUAGCAGUAUCAAGUUUACCUAUCUUUCUAAUCACAUAGUCAGAUAAGUUCAGAAUAAUCAGGGAAUAAGCAAGUUCAUCAAGAUCAUCUUUCAUUUCCUUAGUGUUUUUAUCAUCAUAAGUUUGAGUUAUGGCCUUAAAACAUUUCUGUUGCACUAAAACACCUUUCAUUUUAUGUUUCCAUAUAACAAAGUCACCCUUGCCAUCAAAAGAAGCCACAGGAUAAGAAUUCAUUUUCACAAAGAGAAAAGGAAAAAACAAGAGGCACACAAGCACACAAGCUGCACACAGACAGCAACAGAAAAUGGAAACACACAAGCUGCACACAGACAGCAACAGAAAAUGAAAACACACAAGCUGCACACAGACAACAACAGAAAAUAAAAGCCACACAAAGCUGCACACAGACAGCAACAAAGUAAACAAGGAAAAAACACACAAGAUGAUCCCAGGAGGCCCAACAGAGAGCCAAGCGUUGCAGAAGGCAACUAAGUAACCAGUCGAAGUCUGGGCUAUCUCAGACUACCCCCCUUCCCCAGAUUCCUGCGACACUAAGCGGUCCGGACAAGGGAAGUUUGGAGUGGCGAAUAGCCUGAGUUGGCCCAGAAGGCACCAAAGUAACCGGUCGUAGGCUGGGCUGUCUCAGACUACCCCCCUUCCCCAGAUUCCUGCGACACUAAGCGGUCCGGACAAGGGAAGUUUGGAGUGGCAGAUAGCCUGAGUUGGCCCAGAUUUCAGAGAACAGCGGAAGAAGUUCUGACCACACAAGGUCAACCACAGGUUUUCCAGGAUUUUACCCAGAAACAGAGUGAGUGAGUCACAGUAGUGAAAUCCGUAACACGAGUCUGCAAAGAACAAGUGCCCAACUGAUGCUCUGAUACCACUGUUAGGUACAGGUUCUUUCCAAAACAGCCAUGGAUCCGUAAACACAAUUUAAAACAACUGGAAAUGAGGAAUAAAAUUGUUAUUGAAUAAGAACGGCUCAGUUCCCUUUUCCAGUGUUCAUCCAGUUAAUCCAAGGUCAGGUGGUAACACCGACUGAAAACAAGCACCAAGCUACAGCCACUGAUCGGAACCCUAGAUCUGACCCCAAAACCUCACUCCAAGUUGACUCACCAACACAUGCACAGUCAACUCGGUGAUAACUCACCCUCUCCACUCAGCACAAACCCAGAUUUCUGCACACACAACACCAAAACCCUCACAGAAGAGGAUUAAGGCCAGAAAAGAUAAGGUUUGAAUAAAAGGUGAAUCACACUUGUCUCUCUCUCUCACCACAGUAUAAAUACACAGAGUUUCAACGGUUUUCAGCAUUAAAUGUGCUGCGACGGCAAGGACACCCAUUGUCCGGCCAGACCUGCGACGGUGUCGCCGGAAAACGACAAGGGGUGACGAAACACUGUAGAGAGAGAAGGGGACAAGGGAACAGAGAGAAAUGGCGCAGCAGAAGAAUGCUGCUAGGGUUGAGAGAGGUAAGAAGAAUGAGGCAGAUGGAGGGCUCAGAUUGAAGCCCUAGAACAAACGGUUCAGAUCUACGUUUGACUGGAUCAGUGGGCUUAUGU
rnacentral:lncRNA from 1 species